UACGUAGGGGCCUAGCGUUGUCCGGAAUCAUUGGGCGUAAAGAGCUCGUAGGCGGUUCGGCAAGUCACGUGUGAAAUCUCCACGCUUAACGUGGAGGCGCCACGUGAAACUGCCGUGACUCGAGUCCGGUAGGGGAGUGUGGAAUUCCCGGUGUAGCGGUGAAAUGCGCAGAUAUCAGGAGGAACACCGGUGGCGAAGGCGGGUCUCUGGGCCGAUACUGACGCUGGAGGAGCGAAAGCGUGGGGAGCAAACAGG
rnacentral:rRNA from 1 species